AGGGCAGCAGUGGGGAAUAUUGCACAAUGGGGGAAACCCUGAUGCAGCCAUGCCGCGUGUGUGAAGAAGGCCUUCGGGUUGUAAAGCACUUUCAGUAGGGAGGAAGGUAGUGUAGUUAACACCUGCAUUAUUUGACGUUACCUACAGAAGAAGCACCGGCUAACUCCGUGCCAGCAGCCGCGGUAAUACGGAGGGUGCGAGCGUUAAUCGGAAUUACUGGGCGUAAAGCGCAUGCAGGCGGCCUGUUAAGUCAGAUGUGAAAGCCCGGGGCUUAACCUCGGAAUUGCAUUUGUAAACUAGGCAGGCUAGAGUCUUGUAGAGGGGGGUAGGAAUUUCAGGUGUAGCGGUGAAAUGCGUAGAGAUCUGAAGGAAUACCAGUGGCGAAGGCGGCCCCCUGGACAAAGACUGACGCUCAGAUGCGAAAGCGUGGGGAGCAAACAGGAUUAGAUACCCUGGUAG
rnacentral:rRNA from 1 species